AUUGAACGCUGGCGGCAUGCUUUACACAUGCAAGUCGAACGGCAGCGCGGGCUUCGGCCUGGCGGCGAGUGGCGAACGGGUGAGUAAUGCAUCGGAACGUGCCCAGUAGUGGGGGAUAGCCCGGCGAAAGCCGGAUUAAUACCGCAUACGACCUGAGGGUGAAAGCGGGGGACCGAAAGGCCUCGCGCUAUUGGAGCGGCCGAUGUCGGAUUAGCUAGUUGGUGGGGUAAAGGCCUACCAAGGCGACGAUCCGUAGCUGGUCUGAGAGGACGACCAGCCACACGGGGACUUAGACACGGCCGGGAGGCACACGGGAGGCAGCAGUGGGGAAUGUUGGACAAUGGGGGGAACGCUGAGCCAGCCAUGCCGCGGGCGAGAAGAAGGCCUUCGUGUUGUAAAGCGGGUUUGUUCGGGAAGAAAUCCUAUGGGCUAAUACCCCGGGGGGAUGACGGUACCGGAAGAAUAAGGACCGGCUAACUACGUG
rnacentral:rRNA from 1 species